GGAGACAUUGCAUAGUUGUUAGAACGCUUGUCUAACAUACUUGAUGCCCUGGGUUCAAUCCCCAGUGUCACCU
rnacentral:tRNA from 1 species